UGCUUAGCAACUCCUAUCCCUACCUCCUCGUGGUACCGACCGGAAACUAUGAGCAACCUUAGGGAAGAUCGGGUAACCAACCCCGGUGGGAACUUUGGUCGAAAACUGACAGGGAAGG
rfam:Aedes albopictus isolate Foshan contig106231, whole genome shotgun sequence.